rnacentral:lncRNA from 1 species
GUAUCCAUCCCGACCGACUGAACCCAGAGGUCUGAUGGCCGACUCACAUGAAACUCGCCGACCGACGGAGGGGCCCGACGCCACUCAGCUGGCUACCGACCUAGGGUCGGUCGACUCCUCCGAUCGCCGUACAGCCGCCAGACCUUGUCAGCUCUGACACGGACAUGCGGCGCGGUUACCUAGGGGCAUUGUCCCGCCGAGGGCAUUGUCAACCCUGGUGAUUGGAUAGCCACACGGCGACAUGACAUUUUCACGGCGACUCUGACAGUCCACAGU